rnacentral:rRNA from 1 species
GAGAACACGUUGAUAUUCCUGUACCACAUAUAAACGUUUUAAUAGAUGGGGGGACGCACUAGGUUAGGCGAAGCGUGCGAUUGGGUUGCACGUCUAAGCAGUAAGGCUGAGUAUUAGGCAAAUCCGGUACUCGUUAAGGCUGAGCUGUGAUGGGGAGAAGACAUUGUGUCUUCGAGUCGUUGAUUUCACACUGCCGAGAAAAGCCUCUAGAUAGAAAAUAGGUGCCCGUACCGCAAACCGACACAGGUAGUCAAGAUGAGAAUUCUAAGGUGAGCGAGCGAACUCUCGUUAAGGAACUCGGCAAAAUGACCCCGUAACUUCGGGAGAAGGGGUGCUCUUUAGGGUUAACGCCCAGAAGAGCCGCAGUGAAUAGGCCCAAGCGACUGUUUAUCAAAAAC